GUCCCAUCAAUGUCCCCACAGGUGUCCCAAAGCCACCCCAGGGUUGUCACUUCAAGGUGUCCCAUGGAUGUCCCAAAGCCACCCCAGGGGUGUCCCAAGGCCACCUGAGAUCUCCCAGGAUCCUUUAGGAUGUCCCAGAGCCACCCCAGGGUUGUCACCUCCAGGGUGUCCCAUGAAUGUCCCAAGGCCACCCCAAGGUGUCCCAAAGCCACCCAUGGGUGUCCCAAGGAUGUCCCAGGACCAUCCAGGCCACCCCAGGACUCUUCAGGAUGUCCCAGAGCCAUCCCAGGGAUGUCCCCUCCAGGGUGACCCAUGGAUGUCCCACAGGUGUCCCAAAGCCACCCCAGGGUGUCCCAUGGGUGUCCCAGGAUGUCCCACGGGUGUCCCAGAGCCACCCCAGGGUGUCACUUCAAGGUGUCCCAAGGAUGUCCCAGGACCCUCCAGGCCACCCCA
rnacentral:lncRNA from 1 species